UUUCUCGAUGGUAGUGUAUUGGACUACCAUAAGGAUAACGGGUACGAGGAAUUAGGGUUUGAUAUCGGAGAGGGAGCCUGAGAAACGGCUACCACUUCUAAGGAAGGCAGCAGGCGCGUAAAUUAACCAAUUCCGAUUCGGAGAGUUAGUGACAAGAAAUAAUAACUCGGGUAUUUUUAAUAUUACGAGAUUAAAAUGAGAACAAUCUAAAUAUCUUAUCGAGGAACAAUAAGAGGACAAGUCUGGUGCCAGCACCCGCGGUAAUUCCAGCUCUUAUAGUGUAUAUUAAUGUUGUUGCAGUUAAAAAGCUCGUAGUCGAUCAUCUAAUCGUGACGUGUUUGGUUUUUAAUCGAGCAUGCUCGCGGUUAUCAGUGCGAGAACUUCUAUGACUUUCAUUAGCCGUAGUUGCAGAUCGCACAUCUUACUGAGAAAAAAUUAGAGUGUUCAAAGCAAGCUAUCGCUGUGAAUAUUACAGCUUGGAAUAAUAGAAUAAGACUGAAGUCGCUUUUGUUGGUUCAUGAGGCUUUAGUAAUGGUUAAUAGAAACAGUUUGGGGGCAUUAGUAUUUAAUUGYCAGAGGUGAAAUUCUUGGAUUUAUUAAAGACUAACUUAUGCGAAAGCAUUUGCCAAGGAUGUUUUCAAUUGAUCAAGAACGAAAGUUAGGGGAUCAAAGACGAUCAGAUACCGUC
rnacentral:rRNA from 1 species